UCACGUUGAAAGAGCGGUUCUCGUUCAAUCACCUAAGUUAAACAACGAUGAGCCCAGUCAGUACCUAGAUGGGUGACCGCUUGGGAAUACUAGCUGAUGUA